ensembl:lncRNA
GAAAUUUCAAGCCAGGCCAGCAUAUCGUCUCCAUCUGUUUUAAGGUUUAAGGGUGGUGGCACAGCUAAGACCCAAGAGUCUCUUUCAAGGUUAGUAAAGUAAACAGAUUCAAGAAGAUAUUUUACACAUUUCUUUGUCGUCUGUCUCUAAAUCUUAUUUUGUCUUUAUUAUGAUUAAAAAGGUUUGUUUUGUUCCUGCCCUUUUCAGACACUGAAUUUGAGCAGAAACCAUAAGGAUACUCAACGGACCUGUGACUCUCAGGAAAUGGUGAGAUUUCAGGUCAUAAUCUUUUUUUUCCCAUUAAAUUAAUUUUCCUUUUUCCCUUUACAAUAUUGCUGUUUUGUUUUUGUAAACAGCAUCAAAUGAGAGAGACAGAUGAAACAGUUUCAAGACAAUGGCAGGAAAAAAAUGCUGAAGAUUGAAACAAACCUUGGCUGGAAAUAUUUGAAGGUAUCUAGCCAGUCCACAAUGAAAGCUUCGUUGCACCCAAUGAGUCUUCUGGCAGAAAUGAUGGCGGCUGUAUUCUUUGGUUUCCCUAAACAUCACACCCUGCCUGUUUAUACGAGGCUCUUCAAUUGAGUCUGCACCCAAAGAUUCAAUAAGAGAGGGGAUCCUGCCAGUCCAAAGUGAACUCCUGAUGGACAUUGAAGUACUCCUGCAGAGCUUGUAUCUUCAACACCAUGCGCAUUAGAAACUCCACCGAGUCCUUUCCUUCACCAAGGCAGGACCCAGUGACUCAUUACUGUUGAUAGGUCAGGGGCAGGUAAUAUUUUGUUUCAUGUUUAUUCAUUCCUCCAUGGAUUACCAGCCAUAUAUAUGGACACAUGCUGUAUUCUCAAGAUCUAUGCUGUUUUGUAGGAAUAGAGAAAAUAAUAUGUUUAGUCUGUUUUCAAAUGGUAUGUCAAAUUUUCUCAUUGUUUAUCAGUAAUAUUCUCUACCUUGGUUGUAUAUGAGCAUCUUUAGAUUUUUCUAUAUUUAGCGGUUGCAAAUGUAAAAUGUACGGUAAACCAUUUAUGUUCCUCAUAUUGUAC